ensembl:lncRNA
GGAAGGAAUUCCAUUUAUUGUGGAUGCAUUUUCACAAUAUAUGUUUAUUGGAGCGAUCAAUUAUCAGUGAAAAAUAUGAAGUGUUUAUAAAGUUUUAGGAAUGGCAGAUUCACAGAACAUGCUAGUCAGCUUGCAGUUUUACCUCAUAAAGAUAACAGAGAAUUAUAGUCAAACCAGUAAACAAGGAAUUUACUUUUCAAAAGAUUAAAUCCAAACUGAACAAAAUUCUACCCUAAAACCUAACUCCAUCCAAAUAUUGGAAUAAAAGUCAGCAGUGAUACAUUCUCUUCUGAACUUUAGAUUUUCUAGAAAAAUAUAUAACAGUGAUCAGGAGAAGCUCUUGUACAAAAGUACAGCAAAGCAAUGUUACCUCACCAUAGGCCUUAAUUCAAACUUUGAUCCAUUUCACUCCAAUGAUGGGAGUCAAUGCUACCUGGGACAUUUGUAUUUGUAAAUUCUGAUUUAGCUUAUUGUAAACUUGUGCCUACUCUGUCAUGAGUGUUUGACUUCUGCAUUCUUCAUGGCUUUCCUUCCUUUGGCCUAGGUUUGCUAAAGCUAGAAUAUUCAACUGCUCUUUACAAACUUCUGAGGAAGAUAGACUUUGUAACGCAGGGGUCACUUCUCAUGCCAGCCCUGCUCUGGUUAGCUCUUCUGAAGGAAUACUGCAGAUAAGAAAAUAGUUAUUUGGGAGGCUUCCUCAGUGUGGUAGGAAUUGAGACUAACACAAUUUUGGUUAAGUCCACUGAGGUAUGAGUUUAUAUAACUCCACUGUACAUAUCCAGCUAUACCAGAACAUUUUUGCCAAGACACUGGAGGGCUCUUUCAUUAUCUACUGUGAAGAAUAAAGACUUAGAGGCUAUAAUAAGAUCUGGAUUGUGUGUGUAAAAAUCAUGAGUUAAAAAAGACUUGGGGGAGAAAGUAAAACUAGUAGAAGUUACAUAUAAUUUUGAAAUUUCACCACAUUGUCAACUUACUACAAGUACCAAUGACAAAUAAAUGUAGAAAAGUUUAAUUUAAAGAAAUGUUUCAGAGUAUAUAAAGAUCAAAGUACUGUCAUGACUCCUCAACACUGGAUUUUGCUCACUUUACUUCUCUGUUUGCAGACAUUUAGACAAAGGUAGUCUUUGUGAGACUCAUGGAAUUUCAGUCUGUACAAUAUUGGCACUAAAUUUCUUGUCUUUCAAUUUUAGAAAAGGAAGAGACCUUAUGACCUAUUGUGAACUUCAUUGUUUCUAAUAAGUAGGCUUUGAGCUUGGUCGAGAUGAUAACAUUAAUAAAAUUCACACUGGACUUCAAGAAUGCAUUUAAUUAUAAACUAAAUACUAAGUCUUUUAGAAAAUUUCAACUCCUUGUGACACUUCUAAUCUCUCUUCUUUUCAAUACUUUCUUCUUAUAGGUCAUCAGGCAUUGAAAACAUAUUGAUACCUAUCUGCCAUGUUUCUAUUGGCAAAUAUGAAAUAUUAAUAUAAUAUUGUGAUUCUUUAAUUUUUCAAAAGCUGUGAUAUUGGCUAGUUACAAUGACAUACUACUAAAUAUAAUAGUCUAGCACAUAAAAAAGCAUUCUACCAUUAGUGUGUUUGUAUAUGUGUAUGCACAUACAUACAUACAUGAGUUAUCUAAAAUGUGGUUCAGGCUACUAUCACUACCAAAGAAAUCCACAAAACAACCAACCUAA